CCCACAACUCAUUCAAUGUAGGCUUAAAAGAAGUACAAGAUUUGGCAGCUGCAUCUUGCUGUUGUUCUUGCCUCUGAUUUUUCUACUGUGGCUGCCUGUUAUUGUAGAUGUUUGGAACACAAGCUUGAGGCUCAUGAAACUACAACUGUUGUGGUUCCCGGACCGGUGGAGGCAUACAAGGAGUUUGAAAUGAUGGUUCCUGAUAUUGAUGCUGUGAAGUACCAUACCAUCCCAAGUUAGGAUCAUUCCACCCAGGAUCGUCGCUAUAACCAUACCGCACAGGGAAGAAUUUGUCUAGAAACUGAUGCUUCAGAUCUUCCCAACUGGUGACGGAUCCUAAAGGAAGACAAUACUAUCAAUCCUAUGCUGCUCCAUGUAAUGAGUUCCCAAAUGCCCUUAAGAACAUUUCUUCAUCCAGGACAUCUUGAGGUUUCAUUAAAGAGCAUAAUGUGUAGAAUUGCUCUAAAUGUCUAUGUGGGCAUUCAACUGCAAAACCAUGAAACCUAGGCAGCAAAUGUAUCAGUCCAGUGUUGAAAACACAAUGAAUGUCCUCCUCAUCAAGUGGAAACGGCUCCCUAGGAGCACUCUCAUGAGAUGGAAGAGGAACCUUAUUGUUCUCAACAUAGAAAUCAACAACAGAAUCAUAAUCAUAGGCACAGGCAGAAGAAACAAUAUCCACAUAACCAAAAUAGGUAGGCAUGGGAAAGAAGGGGGAAAAGAAGAAUGCAAUGAAAAUAUACAACUAAAGCUACACAAAUGCAACACACAUUAACGAACACACAAAACAAAACAUCACACUCACAACACAAGACAAAACACAACACACAUUAACACAACAAAAGACCUACAAUCGAACCGUUUGUCCCCGGGAACGGUGCCAAAAUUUUGAUGGGUGUCACACCCCAUGCAAAAUUUAAUGUGCAUAAAAGAAUGCAGUAUAGACUAGGAAGUGACUCCUAAGUCGUCUCAAUAGGACCAAAUGUGGUUCGAGAAUUAGGUCAGACACGCNGNGGGGGGGGGGGGUUGUGUGAAAGGUGUGUGAAUGCAAAUGAACUAAAUUAAAACACGGAUGCAAACAGAAGUGCAAAACGGAAUCAAAUACAGAAUAAAAAAGGUUGGUCAUUAACUCAAUUACCAUGCUUCCAAUCACCGAUUAAUACAACAAAGAGACUACUCUGACCUCUAAUCCAGCACAGCUAACCGACAAAGCUAGGGUCAAUUGUGCUAUCAUAAUCAGGAACAAAGCGAACACAAUACACCUAUUCCAUCCAAUGUGUUCUAUAAAGAUUGAUCAACUAAGCAAAGAUGCAAUCACCAUUGGAUUACUAAGUGUAUACCCAUUGCAAGAACACAGUCAGAUUUCACAGAAUGUCAGGCAAAGCAAAAUAAACACAAGAACAGUUCAAUAAAUCUCAAGGAAGCAAUGCAAUAUCGCUAAUGACCAACCCGACUAGUCUAAGCUAACAUCACAACUAAAUUAACACAAUCAGACAGAAUAGACAACAUUAAAGCAAGAGAAAACAUUAAAUUGAACACUACAGCAGAUAAAUCUCCAAACAUAAUUAAAACUAUUAAAAUGCAAUAAUAAAUUAAGCAAAUGAAAACAACUCAAAAUGUAAUUUAAAAUAUUUUAAAGCAAAGAAAAAUAAGAAGACAUAAAUUUAUCUAACACCUCAUGUGACCACUUGUGCAUCUAUCAAAAGGAGUUGAAUUUUCAAAUGGCCUAAACAUCCUUUUGGUCGUGUCAAAUUUUAUUCCAAAUAAAACUAGUGCAUCAUUCUCCACUUAAAACAAAAUAAUGUGCUUAUUUAAAAGAAAGGAAAUCCCAAACAGUAUAUGCGGCAGCUUCCAUCAACAUCAUCGUUCCUCUCUUUUCUCCAAAGCAAGUAAAUGCAAGAAAAAAACAAAAUAAAGAAAAAGGUUGCAACGAUGCUCCACUCCACAAAGUGUCAGCCCCUAUUCUAAUCCAAGCCGAGACAUCACUUCCUCCAACUUUUUCUCCUAAUCAAUUGAUAGCACGUUCUUCUCCCAAAGUCACUCACUGUGUGGCUGGAAGCAUUUCCCAUUCUACCCAAAAUCCAGCACUGUUUAAAUGGUUACAAGCAAAGAAAGAAAACAUGUAAAAAUAUUCAAGGACCCAAAAAGAAAGAGGCGGCUAGAAGCAUUCUGAAAAUAAAAUGAAAAGAUUGUGCUCUUCAUUAAACAAAAUCAAAACAGCUUAUACGUUUGUCAAUUUCCCAAAAACUCAUGAGCAUACGUUCCCAGCUAAAAAAAAACAUUCCAAAAGAAAAACCGAAUGGUGUGUGUGUGUUGGCAACGUGAAAUGAAGAGAUAAAAGAUACUGGAAUGAAGCUUCAAUCACCGUGCAUUAGCUUUCUUUAACCCAUGGAAACCAUGAAUAUAUUCAAGAGCCCUUAGAAAACGUUCAAGCAGAGAAAAAAAAAACAAAAGUAAAGUGGCAGCCUCCCCACGGUAGGGCAUCGUUCUAGCACCUACAUCCCCAAAAAAAAAAAACAUUCCAGCACUUGUAAAAUUGAAAAAUUCGAGAAAAUAUGGUGCCCAUUUUUCAUUCAACCAUUUUCCAAGAGUGUCCACAUAGUUCCAAGAGUGUGACGGCUGCAGUUGUAAAAUGUCGUGUGUGUCUCCAAAAUGUGAGAGUGGGGUCCACCAAAAGAAACCCUAGGGUGCCAAGUGUCUAUUACAAUUUUGGGUCCCUCAUAUUUUUGCCAACAAUGGCCCAAUGUGCAAGUUUAAUUAAAAACUAUUUUAGACUACUAAGUUACAAUUAAAAUUUGAAAUGUCUAUGUGUAGAGUCUUUAAUUAAUUUGCCUCCUUC
rnacentral:lncRNA from 1 species